rnacentral:rRNA from 1 species
GCCCUAGUAACGGCGAGUGAAGCGGCAACAGCUCAAAUUUGAAAUCUCGGUCCUCGCGGCCCGAGUUGUAAUUUGUAGAGGAUGCUUUUGGACAGGUGCCUUCUGAGUUCCCUGGAACGGGACGCCAGAGAGGGUGAGAGCCCCGUAUAGUCGGACACCUAGCCUCUGUAAAGCUCCUUCGACGAGUCGAGUAGUUUGGGAAUGCUGCUCAAAAUGGGAGGUAUAUCUCUUCUAAAGCUAAAUAUAGGCCAGAGACCGAUAGCGCACAAGUAGAGUGAUCGAAAGAUGAAAAGCACUUUGAAAAGAGGGUUAAAUAGCACGUGAAAUUGUUGAAAGGGAAGCGCUUGUGACCAGACUUGUGCCGGGCUGAUCAUCCAGUGUUCUCACUGGUGCACUCGACCCGGCUCAGGCCAGCGUCGGUUCUCGCGGGGGGAUAAAAGCUUCGGGAACGUGGCUCCUCCGGGAGUGUUAUAGCCCGUUGUUUAAUACCUCCGCGGGGACCGAGGUUCGCGCUCUGCAAGGACGCU